CUAAAAUCAUCCUUAGAAGCUCAACACAAGCUGAGUCCCCCACCCCGAAUUCCAGGCCUGGGAGGAGGGAAGGUGGCACUUACUGGCACUAUGGGCAGCUCCUCCCACCAGCAGAUCCUGUCGGACAUGCUUAAUUGAUAUUCCUGUCAUGGUAAUGCCAUGGCCGAGCUGUUAACAAAGUCAUACGUGAUGUGACGGCUGCUUGCGGGCCACCUAGAGGGGCACCUGCCCCCAGGAGGCCUCGGGCGGAAAUCUUCCUGUGGCUUUUCCUCCUCGGACGCCAGCUCAGCACAGCCUGGUCCAGAGAACCUAUUACAUCACCGUCUACCUCCACUUCGUAACUGGAUAAAGAAGACAGGAUCUUCUCUUUUUAUUUUUUUCUUUCUCAUGGACUCGAAUACAAAGUUACAGACUAAGAUAUAACAACAUUCUGUUAAAAUGUAGAUGCCAAGGGUAGCUAGCUGUUCCAGCCUGGCAUCUCAACUUUGCAGGUAGACUCCUUUAAAGGAAACCACUUCCUUGAACUAUAGACUAUCGGAGAUCCAGCUAAGUGUUGGCACUCCUGAUGAGAGUCAAGCAAACAGGAUCUCAUAUAAAGGGAAACUUCUGUGUAAUAUGCCGCGUGGUCAAGCUGCUCUGACCUCCUGUGGCUUCAAAGCUCGUCUGCUCUAUUGCACAACCCACAACCUCGAGAACAAUCGGCUCUUCCUGCCAGCAGCUUCUCUGCGUCCACCUGUCCCUACAGGUAGUAAAAGAGAAGAAGGAUCAGGAAUCGGUGUUUACACAACACUGCAGAGCGCUCUCUUCCUCCUGGCCCUGCCCCACCCCCAAUAUGCCGAUCUUUCCAUUUCAAAGCACUGGGUGGCUACGCUUCUAAAAUACUAUCGCAUCAUUGGCUACGAGCAGAGAAUUCAGGACAGAGGUGACACUGGACCACAGGGUGAGUGUCCCGGAGGAGGUCUGGGCGGGAACGUGCUCUGCAAGCAGCUAGUCAGCUAACAAGCUUCCUGUGAGUAAGGCUCUCCCCCUCUGCCCGGUCUCAGGAAUGCCCUCUCAUUCCUUUCAGAGGAGCUAAUGGCUUUAAAAUUCUAGCCCCAGAUCCAGAGUCUGAUGAGCUUCAUCCAGGGUCUUAACAGCCUGGACAGACCUGUCUUCCCGGAUUUCUGAGAAAGAGGUGAAUACUGACCUACACUCAAUGUUCUAGACUAAAAUCGCAGGUUUAGGAUAAAGAAAAAAAAACUUCUAUAUAAUCUAAUAAAAUCAACAUUUUACAGACAGAAAAUUGAAGCCUGGAUGGGGAAAAAAGACACAGUACAAAAAUGAAACGGCAGUUUAUUUCUAGUGGUAACCAUGAGGCAGUCUUUUAACGCAGGCUGUGCCUUUCUCCAUCAGCUACUUGUACGCUGCCCCAAGAGGCAGAUGCUGUGUAUCAGUCGGCAGUGAGCACACGGCUGCAAACCCAUCUCUAAGUUGGGAUGCCAUCAAGCACCAAAAACCAAGGGAAUUUAAGGUGCUCAUCAUUGAGGCUGGAAGAGAGGUGGCUAAGCUCCUUGACCUAAGGUUUAUUUGUUCUCAUCACUUGCCGUGAACCAGGGACACUCAAAGACGAAUGUUAGGAGGGCGGGUCUGGGACAGGGCAAAGUGACCUGCAUGCCAAG
ensembl:lncRNA